CGCACACAAUCAGCCAACCUUGUGACGGGUGCCUUUAGCUCCCUCCUCCCCAAGAUCCUGGAGCUCCUCAAUGACAAGUACGAUCUGCGGAUGGACAUAAAAAAAAACAUCGAGUCCCUCUACAAGGAGCUGGAGGGUAUGCAAGCUGUCCUCCAUGACUUGGCGAGGAGGGAACAGGCUCAACUGGAUGCUGUGGUCAUGAUCUGGGCCAAGGAAGUAAGAGACCUCUCGUAUAAUGUGGAGGAUAUGAUCGAUUCCUUAACAGGGGAAGAGAUAAGAGGCUUGUCCGAGAAGACCCCGUUCUUCUUCCUCGUGAACGACACUGACUUCAUCUAUGAGAACAGGGAAAAGGUCAUCAAUGAGAUCAGGGAAAAGGUCAAAGGUGUGGCCAGCCGACGUGAGAAGUACAAGGUUGAUGACCGGAUUGUUGCUGCUUAUCCAAAAGCCACAGAUAACGUUGAUCCUCCCCUGUUGGAUCUGUUCCAAGAGUCGGAAGAAGUUAUUGGCAUCGAAGCUCAAGUGGAAGAGGUGAUAAGGCAGCUGAAAGGACACGAUUGGGACAACAACAAUAACAAGCUGAAGAUAGUCUCCAUAGUUGGAAUGGCAGGAUCGGGCAAGACAACUCUUGCGAAAGCAAUUGCCAAAGCAGUUCCCAAAGAAGUGCUUCAUGAUACGGUUUUCGUUUCCGUAUCUCAGGAUCCCAACAUGAAGAGAGUUCUCAUGGACAUCCUCCUUCAAAUUGACGAGCGGGAGUACAGGAGUCUCACUGGAUCAACGUUCGAUGCAAAGCUGCUUAUAAAUAUAAUCCGGAGAGUAAUUGGGAGCAAGAGGUACUUCAUUGUUAUUGAUGAUAUAUGGGAUGUGAAGUCAUGGAAAUUUAUAAAGGAUGCUUUAGAUACUCGAUGUGGAAGUAGAGUAGUCAUAACCACAAGGCUUUUGGAAGUUGCUGUCAAUGCUGGUGAUGUUUACAAGCUAAAAGCACUUUCUCAUUCGCACUCUGGAGAAUUGUUUAAUACAAGAUUAUUUGGUGGCAAAGACAAUGUCCCUCGUGUCGUGCCGGAGGUACCUGAAAAGCUUUUACAGAAAUGUGGUGGUGUACCAUUAGCUAUCAUCACAAUGGCUAGUUUGUUUGCGAGGAAACCAAGGAACUAUUGCUCUAAGGUGCACACCAAUGUUAGUUUUGGGUCUGCAGUUGGAGGCAAUAGAGAUGUCGAUGAAACACGGAGGAUACUAUUGUCUAGCUAUUAUAAUCUGCCUUAUCAUCUGAGGGCAUGUUUAUUGCAUCUGCAGGUUUUUCCGGAGGACUAUUUAAUAACGGAAGAAACUUUGAUCUGGAAGUGGGCAGCCGAAGGUUUAAUUGUUGAGGAACCAGGAAGAGGGUUAUUUGAGAUUGGAGAUGGAUACUUCAAGGAACUCAUAGAUAGCAGCGUGGUCAUGCCAGUGGAGGAUGACUCAGAUUAUGGGACAAUUGUUGGUUGCCGUGUCCAUUACUUGGUUUUUGAUAUGAUCUGUUCCUUAUCAGCUAUAGAAAAUUUUGUUACCAUAGAGGAUGGAAGCAGUCAAUACUCUCUUAUUGAAAGCAAGCAGGCUCGCAGGUUAGGUAUCCAAAAGUGGACCACGGAGAACGGCGACCCUCUGGCUAACAUUGGCUCGAGAAGUCUGAGGUCAUUUAAUACCACGGGGUGUCGUUUUAGUGUGGAACUAUCACUUUCAAGGUUUAAGCUCUUGCGUGUCAUUGCUAUCGAAGAAUGCACAUUGCUUGAUGGCGAUCUUUCUCCUCUGGGGAAGUUAAUUUUGUUGAGGUACCUCGGACUAUAUCACACACUUAUCAAGAAGCUACCGGAAGACAUUGGUGAGCUAAUUUAUUUGCAGACACUGGACCUGAGGGGGACCAGGGUCCAUGGAUUGCCCUGGGAAGUUACUCAGAUAAGUCAGCUCAAGUGCCUGCGAGCUGAUGGAGACACAGCAAUGCCUUACGGGAUGGGAAAACUUACAUCCUUAGAAGAGCUGCGGCUGGGCGCGAUUGACACGUCGGCAGACUUUGUGGAUGGGUUGGGCAGACUGACAGAGCUGAGGGAGCUCGAGAUUCGGAUUAACCAGUUGGAUGUGAACGAGGCGGGAGCUUUGGUGCAGUCUCUGAAAAAACUAGAGAAAAUCCAAGUCCUAAGACUUGUGGGAUUUCCUUGGCCACCAUCUCGUGUUGACGAGCUCAACUGGGGAAACUUUGAUCCGCCUCAACAACUCCGUGAGUUGCAUCUAAGCAUCCCAUCCACUCGGCUGCCGGCGUGGGUUCACGUCUCCCGUGUUCCAAUGCUCUCACACUUAGUUGUGAGCCUCAAGUCUAAGGAGGAUCAGGAUUUGGAUAUUCUUGGUGCUUUGCCAGAGCUCAGUAGUCUGCAGCUGGUGCUGCCGUCGAAAGUGGUCCUCAGCAUCACUGGUCGUUCCGGUGCAUUCCCGAGGUUGAGGUACUUUCGCACGUCUGUACCAGCCAAGUUUCUAAGAGGCGCUAUGCCCACACUGGAAUUCCUUCACUUUGAUGCCAAUUUUGACUUUGAUCCUGACUUUGCUGCAUCAACGUUGGGGAACCUGCCUUCACUUCAGAAAGUGGAAGUGGAAAUAACAUCCAAUGCUCUCUCCUUUGAGUCGAUGAAUGAGGUGAUGAAGCGUGCAGUGGACCAACAUCGAAACCAUCCCAGCCUUCGUGUCAUCAAAGUAGAUCAUGUACGUACAGAUAUCAAGGCAUUUUUUUU
rnacentral:rRNA from 1 species